AAAGUAUGGAUUUAAAAGGGAAUUCGGUGCGAGUCCGAAACUGAGUCUCCAGCUGUGAGUUCCGCUAAGAGUUUUGCCCUGUGAAUGUCAUUUUUUCGGCAAAAGGCACGAAAAGAGAAGACGGCAAAGCGGGAACGAGUCAGAAGACCUGCCGAUGUGUUU
rnacentral:ncRNA from 1 species